AAGUCGAACGCGAAAGUCCCCUUCGGGGGGCAAGUAGAGUGGCGCACGGGUGAGUAACACGUAGGUAAUCUACCUUUGGAUUGGGAAUAACCACCGGAAACGGUGGCUAAUACCGAAUAAUGCAGCGGCACCUAAUGGUGACAGUUGUUAAAGCGGGGGAUCGCAAGACCUCGCGUCUGAAGAGGAGCCUGCGGCAGAUUAGCUAGUUGGUAAGGUAACGGCUUACCAAGGCGAUGAUCUGUAGCCGGCCUGAGAGGGCGGUCGGCCACACUGACACUGACAUACGGGUCAGACUCCUACGGGAGGCAGCAGUCGGGAAUUUUGGGCAAUGGGCGAAAGCCUGACCCAGCAACGCCGCGUGAAGGAUGAAAUCCUUCGGGAUGUAAACUUCGCAAGAACGGGAAGAAUAAGUAAGAGUUAAUAUCUCUUACGAUGACGGUACUGUUUGUAAGCUCCGGCUAACUCCGUGCCAGCAGCCGCGGUAAUACGGGGGGAGCAAGCGUUGUUCGGAUUUACUGGGCGUAAAGGGCGCGUAGGCGGCCACCGCAAGUCGGUUGUGAAAUCUCCGGGCUUAACCCGGAACGGUCAAUCGAUACUGCGGGGCUAGAGUGCAGAAGGGGCAACUGGAAUUCUCGGUGUAGCGGUGAAAUGCGUAGAUAUCGAGAGGAACACCUGCGGCGAAGGCGGGUUGCUGGGCUGACACUGACGCUGAGGCGCGAAAGCUAGGGGAGCGAACGGGAUUAGAUACCCCGGUAGUCCUAGCCUUAAACGAUGAAUGCUUGGUGUC
rnacentral:rRNA from 1 species